AUCUGUGGUGUUUUUUGUGUAAUGUGCUUCAAAGAGUUUUGCCCUGAGGCUAUCUUCUACUGCUGUCUAUUGCAGCUGCUGCUUCUGUUGCUGGCGCUCUGAACCCCAUCUCCAAUGGCUAGGAUUUUCAACGUCUAGUGAUUAUGGUGGUGAUCUGACUGGAUCAGAAGAUGUGCUGGACACCACUGGGGAUGGAACAAAGAUGAUGGAGAAGCAGAAGGCUACAUGACUCAAUUGAAUACAACCAAAAAGAAACAUGUGGAAUGGAAUCCAGAGA
rnacentral:lncRNA from 1 species